GUAGCUAAGCUACUAAGGGUUCAUGGUGGAUGUCUUGGUGCCAAGAGCCGAUGAAGGACGCAGUAGGUUGCGAUAAGCUUCGGGUAGCUGCCAAACGAGCUUUGACCCGGAGAUCUCCGAAUGGGGCAACCCAUCUGGGUUAAUACCCAGAUAUUGAUACCUGAAUACAUAGGGUAUCAAGGGCAACGGAGGGAAGUGAAACAUCUCAGUACCUCCAGGAAAGGAAAGAAAUUAUCGACUUCCCCAGUAGCGGCGAGCGAAAAGGAAAGAGCCCAAACCCGACGUGCGUAAAAGCCCUUGUGCAUUGCAUGUCGGGGGUUGUGGGAAUCGUGUGGACGGUAACAAGGAACCGUCCGGAGAGUUACAAAGGCCAACGUUAGCCGAACAGGCAGGAAAGCCUGGCCGCAGAGGGUGAUAGCCCUGUAGGCGAAAGUGUUGACUCUCUCUAUCGAUUUCCCAAGUAACGCGGGACCCGUGAAAUCCUGUGUGAAUUAGGGAGGACCACCUCCUAAGGCUAAGUACUCCUUGGCAACCGAUAGUGGACAAGUAGCGCGAGCGAAAGAUGAAAAGAACCCCUGUUAGGGGAGUGAAAUAGAACCUGAAACCAUGUACCUACAAGCGGUGGGAGCACUAUGAUGCACCUUCGGGUGCAUAAUGUGUGACCGCGUGCCUUUUGCAUAAUGAACCGGCGAGUUGCUGUGUACUGCUUGGUUAAGUGUUAACAGACACGAAGCCGUAGCGAAAGCGAGCGUUAAAAGCGCGAAUUGGUAGUGCGCAGCAGACACGAAACCAGGUGAUCUACCCUUGGCCAGGAUGAAGCGGAUGUAAAAAUCUGUGGAGGUCCGAACCCGUCAACGUUGAAAAGUUGUGGGAUGAGCUGAGGGUAGGAGCAAAAGACCAAUCAAACCUGGUGAUAGCUUGUUCUCCUCGAAAUAGCUUUAGGGCUAGCCUUACGCGUUUUCGGAUGGGGGUAGAGCACUGAAUGGACUCUGGGGCCCACCAGGCUACCAAAUCCAAUCAAACUCCGAAUACUAUCCGAUUUAGCGUAGGAGUCAGACUUGGGGGAUAAACUCCUGAGUCGAGAGGGAAACAGCCCAGAUCGCCAGCUAAGGCCCCGAAAAUAGGCUAAGUGAAAAAGGAAGUGAGAGUACUAAGACAGCUAGGAUGUUGGCUUAGAAGCAGCCAUCAUUUAAAAAGUGCGUAACAGCUUACUAGCCGAGUGCUUUUGCGCCGAAGAUGAACGGGACUAAAGCCUAUUGCCGAAGCUGCGGACCCGCGCCCUGCGCGGGUGGUAGAGGAGCGUUCUACGAUAGAUUGAAGGGAGACCGUGAGGACUCCUGGACGAUGUAGAAGUGAGAAUGUCGGUACGAGUAGCGAUAAUAUGAGUGAGAAUCUCAUUCGCCGAAAGCCUACGGUUUCCUGGGGAAGGUAAAUCCGCCCAGGGUUAGCCGGAACCUAAGUUGAGGCCGAAAGGCGUAGACGAUGGACAACGGGUCAACAAUCCCGUGCCACCACUAGGACGCUUGAGCAUGGGGGGACGGAGGCAAGAAGGUUAGCAGGCCUAUUAGACAUGGUCUGUCCAAGCCCGAGAUGUCGCUCCAGGUAAAUCCGGAGCACCAAGACAUCGGAGGCGAAUGCGUGGGCCUUGAGCCCGUAAGUAACCGGUACUGUCUUCCAAGAAAAGCCCCGUUUGCGAGUUCUAGCGGUGUCCGUACUAAAACUGACACAGGUAGGCAAGGUGAAUAUCCAAAGGCGCUCGAGAGACCUCUCGUUAAGGAACUAGGCAAAAUAACUCCGUAACUUCGGGAAAAGGAGUGCCCGCCUUCGGGCGGGCCGCAGAGAAAAGGCCCGGGCGACUGUUUACUAAAAACACAAGUCUGUGCAAAGACCGAAAGUCGACGUAUACAGACUGACGCGUGCUCGAUGCCAGAAAGUUAAGGGAAAGGGUUAGCUCACUUCGGUGGGCGAAGCUCUGAACCGAAGCUCUGGUGAAUGGCGGCUCUAACUAUGAGAGUCCUAAGGUAGCGAAGUUCCUUGUCGGCUAACUUCCGACGUGCAUGAAACGCGUAACGACUUGGGUACUGUCUCAACGAGAGACUCGGCGAAACUGUAGUCGUGGUGAAGAUGCCACGUACCCGCAGCAAGACGGAAAGACCCCGUGAACCUUUACUGUAACCUAUUAUUGAGUUUUGACAUAGUAUGUGUAGGAUAGGUGGGAGACUAUGAAGUCCGUUCGCUAGGGCGGAUGGAGUCGCCGUUGAAAUACCACUCUUAUUAUGUUAGAACCCUAACCAAGUUCCGUGAAUCCGGGCUUGGAACAGUGGUAGGCGGGCAGUUUGACUGGGGCGGUCUCCUCCUAAAAGGUAACGGAGGAGUCCGAAGGCCUCCUCAGUGCGCUCGGCAACCGCACGUAGAGUGUAAGGGCAGAAGGAGGCUUAACUGCGAGACAAAUAUGUCGAGCAGGUGUGAAAGCAGGGCCUAGUGAUCCGGUGGUUGUGCGUGGAAGCGCCAUCGCUCAUCAGAUAAAAGGUACUCCGGGGAUAACAGGCUGAUCUUCCCCGAGCGUCCAUAGCGGCGGGAAGGUUUGGCACCUCGAUGUCGGCUCAUCGCAUCCUGGGGCUGGAGAAGGUCCCAAGGGUUCCGGAGUUCACGGAUUAAAGCGGUACGUGAGCUGGGUUUAGACCGUCGUGAGACAGGUCGGUCCCUAUCUGCUGUGGGCGUUCGAUACUUGAGGAGCGCUGUCCCUAGUACGAGAGGACCGGGAUGGACGAACCUCUGGUGCACCAGUUGUCGCGCUAGCGGCAUAGCUGGGUAGCUAUGUUCGGAAGGGAUAAACGCUGAAAGCAUAUAAGCGUGAAGCCCACUCCAAGAUUAGGUAUCGCAUCCCCUAGAGGGAGAAAGACACCUUGUAGACUACGAGGUUGAUAGGCCAGGUGUGUAAGUGCAGUAAUGCAUUUAGCUGACUGGUACUAAUCUGUCGAGGGGCUUAGCUGCCCUUUUUAGUUUAGUGAUGUGU
rnacentral:rRNA from 4 species